UGCUGGGAAAGAUUGAAGGCAGGAGGAGAAGGGGACAGCAGAGGACGAGAUGGUUGGAUGGCAUCACUGACUCAGUGGACAGGAGUUUGAGCAAACUCUGGGAGAUGGAGGCCUGGCGUGCUGCGAUUCAUGGGGUCGCAAAGAGUCGGACACGACUGAGUGACUGAAUUGAACU